CGCUGGCGGCGUGCUUAACACAUGCAAGUCGAGCGAGGCCUCUUCUUCGGGAGGGUGUCCUAGCGGCGAACGGGUGAGUAACACGUGGGCAACCUGCCCCCGGCUCUGGGAUAACUCCAAGAAAUUGGGGCUAAUACCGGAUAUGACUGCUGACCGCAUGGUCUGGUGGUGGAAAGAUUUAUCGGCUGGGGAUGGGCCCGCGGCCUAUCAGCUUGUUGGUGGGGUAGUGGCCUACCAAGGCGACGACGGGUAGCCGGCCUGAGAGGGUGACCGGCCACACUGGGACUGAGACACGGCCCAGACUCCUACGGGAGGCAGCAGUGGGGAAUAUUGCGCAAUGGGCGGAAGCCUGACGCAGCGACGCCGCGUGGGGGAUGACGGCCUUCGGGUUGUAAACCUCUUUCAGCAGGGACAAAGCGCAAGUGACGGUACCUGCAGAAGAAGCACCGGCCAACUACGUGCCAGCAG
rnacentral:rRNA from 1 species